rnacentral:lncRNA from 1 species
AUGACCGCGCCCCCGCGGCCCGUGAGCGUCUGGAGGCUCCUGCGCCAGUGGGAACGUGUGGCUGGGCCUGCGUGCUCGGGGAAGGGGCCGUCCGCGCCUGUAACGUUGCGGGCUCCCCGUGUCCUCACGCCCGAAGGGACCCUCGGCGGCCACGCGAGGCGAGUGUACAUAUUUAUUUACCCCCUGACUGUCGCCAGCAGCCCAGCGCCUUCCUGUGUUCAUUGUAAUCAGUUCAUUACCAAAGAGACGUUUGCACUAUGUACCGAUGCCGCCAGUUCAAAUAAACGGGCCACGUCUUCAAAUGGAGCCUGGCAUGCUUCUUUGGGUCCCGCCCGCGGCGCAGUGGCCGCUCGCGGGCGCCGUGCUGUGACAGCAGGGGCGAGGAGGAGCGAGGGCGGAUUCAGGGGGGCUCUGAUGCCAGGCGGCCUGGGCGCUCACGGGGCCGAGGGGCUGGCUCUGGGCCGGGUGGGGGGGGCCAGGAGAGCCUGCGGCGGCCGCCCCUACCCCCAGGUGCAUCCUUGUCACAGGGACUGCGUGGCCCUGGGGACCCGGGAUGGGAGGGCUCCUCUCCACGAGGUUGUGGGGUCGCAGGGCCGCCUUCCCUCUCUGGGAUCGGGGACGGGGGGUGGGGGGGGCGGGGGCUGGGCAGCUGGGAGGACCCGGGGCCUUUCUCCUGCUUCAAGCGAACCUAAUACAACUGGCGACGGCCGACGACCUGCAUGUUGCUUUCAGAGUCACAGAGAAGGUCCAGAGACCCCUCCGCUGCCUUUUGAACACCCCUCACCCCCGUUCCCUGCUGCAGAAGGGGCACCGCUGACCUACGUCGUCCCGUUUUAUCUGCUGAGUGAUUCAGCAGAGAUGCUCACGUGUGUCCACGGAACCCAACGAGCGCAUCUUUUUUUUUUUUUUUUUAAAGAUUUUAUUUAUUUAUUCACGAGAGACACAGAGAGAGAGAGAGAGAGAGGCAGAGACACAGGCAGAGGGAGAAGGCAGCUCCAUGCAGGGAGCCCGAUGUGGGACUCCAUCCCGGGACCCCAGGAUCACGCCCUGGGCUGA